rnacentral:tRNA from 1 species
GCCCUGGUGGUGCAAUGGCUAAACAUUCAGCUGCUAACCAAACAGUUGGUGGUUCAAAUCCACCCAGUGGCU